GAGCACGUAGGUGGGUUUGUAAGUCAGAUGUGAAAGCCUUCUGUUCAAAGGAAGAACGGCAUCUGAAACUGCAGAUCUUGAGUGUAGGAGGGGAGAGUGGAACUUCUGGUGGAGCGGUGAAAUGCGUAGAUAUCAGAAGGAACGUCGGCGGCGAAAGCGACUCUCUGGCCUAUUACUGACACUGAGUGUGCGAAAGUUAGGGGAGCAAACGGGAUUAGAUACCCCGGUAGUCCUAACUGUAAACGAUGGGCACUAAGUAGAGGGGUUUU
rnacentral:rRNA from 1 species